UACGUAGGGUGCAGGCGUUAAUCGGAAUUACUGGGCGUAAAGCGUGCGCAGGCGGUUUGCUAAGACCGGUGUGAAAUCCCCGGGCUUAACCUGGGAACUGCGCUUGUAACUGGCAAGCUGGAGUGUGGCAGAGGGGGGUGGAAUUCCACGUGUAGCAGUGAAAUGCGUAGAGAUGUGGAGGAACACCGAUGGCGAAGGCAGCCCCCUGGGCUAAGACUGACGCUGAGGUGCGAAAGCGUGGGGAGCGAACAGG
rnacentral:rRNA from 1 species